rnacentral:tRNA from 1 species
GGAGUUGUAGCUCAGUGGUAGAGCACUUGUCUAGCACAUGUGAGGCACUGGGUUCAAUCCUCAGCACCA